rnacentral:rRNA from 1 species
AUCAGGCCUAACACAUGCAAGUCGAGGGGCAGCAUAGGGUAGCAAUACUUUGAUGGCGACCGGCGCACGGGUGAGUAACGCGUAUGCAACCUACCUAUAACAGGGGGAUAACCCGGAGAAAUUCGGACUAAUACCGCAUAAAACAGGGGCUCCGCAUGGAGAUAUUUGUUAAAGAUUUAUCGGUUAUAGAUGGGCAUGCGUUCCAUUAGCCAGUUGGUGAGGUAACGGCUCACCAAAGCAACGAUGGAUAGGGGAACUGAGAGGUUUGUCCCCCACACUGGAACUGAGACACGGACCAGACUCCUACGGGAGGCAGCAGUGAGGAAUAUUGGUCAAUGGGCGAGAGCCUGAACCAGCCAAAUCGCGUGAAGGAAGACUGCCUUAUGGGUUGUAAACUUCUUUUGUACAGGAAUAAAAAGGAGGACGCGUCCUCCAUUGCAUGUACUGUACGAAUAAGCAUCGGCUAACUCCGUGCCAGCAGCCGCGGUAAUACGGAGGAUGCGAGCGUUAUCCGGAUUUAUUGGGUUUAAAGGGUGCGCAGGCGGGCUUUUAAGUCAGCGGUGAAAUCUCGACGCUUAACGUCGAAACUGCCGUUGAAACUGGGAGUCUUGAGUAUAGAUGAAGUAGGCGGAAUUCGUUGUGUAGCGGUGACAUGCUUAGAUAUAACGAGGAACUCCGAUUGCGUAGGCAGCUUACUAAGCUAUAACUGACGCUCAAGCACGAAAGCGUGGGGAUCAAACAGGAUUAGAUACCCUGGUAGU